rnacentral:rRNA from 1 species
AUGGCGCCAAGUACCAAUACGAACACGAAUGACUACAACCGAAUUGUACAACUACACGACGUCCGCCAAGUUCGACGACGCUCGCCACCCGAACGACUACCGCCGACGCGUACCUCUCCGUCGCUGUGGGUUUCGUCAAGUCCAAUGGUGAACCCCGAAGUCCUCGAAUCCGUCAAGUCCAACAAUGACUGUGUGCUACUAUCAGCGACCUUGAAUGGCUACAAGACGAGACCCUCCUCUACUUCCCCUCCAAAACAUGUACCACGACCAUCGCUGAAGACCCCGUGGAUGUCAAGUUCCAUGUCGUGA